rnacentral:rRNA from 1 species
GUGUCAGCCGCCGCGGUAAUACGUAGGGUCCAAGCGUUAAUCGGAAUUACUGGGCGUAAAGCGUGCGCAGGCGGUUUUGCAAGUCCGAUGUGAAAUCCCCGAGCUCAACUUGGGAAUUGCAUUUGUUACUGCCCGGCUAGAGUGUGUCAGAGGGGGGUAGAAUUCCACGUGUAGCAGUGAAAUGCGUAGAGAUGUGGAGGAAUACCGAUGGCGAAGGCAGCCCCCUGGGAUAACACUGACGCUCAUGCACGAAAGCGUGGGGAGCAAACAGGAUUAGAAACCCCAGUAGUCC